rnacentral:rRNA from 1 species
GACGAACGCUGGCGGCGUGCUUAACACAUGCAAGUCGAACGGUGAGGCGCCUUCCUUUUUGGUGGGUGUGGAUGAGUGGCGAACGGGUGAGUAACACGUGAGUAACCUGCCCCCUUCUUCUGGAUAACCGCAUGAAAGUGUGGCUAAUACGGGCUAUUCUGGGUCUGUCGCAUGAUGGGUCUGGGAAAGAUAUUGUUUCGGUGGGGGAUGGGCUCGCGGCCUAUCAGCUUGUUGGUGGGGUGAUGGUCUACCAAGGCGGUGACGGGUAGCCGGCCUGAGAGGGUGGACGGUCACAAUGGGGAUGGGACACGGCCCGGACUACUACGGGAGGCAGCAGCGGGGAAUAUUGGACAAUGGGCGCAAGGCUGAUGCAGCGACGCCGCGUGAGGGAUGGAGGCCUUGGGGUUGUGAACCUCUUUCGCCAGUGAAGCAGGCCUGCCUCGUUUGUGGGUGGGUUGACGGUAGCUGGAGAAGAAGCGCCGGCCAACUACGUG